rnacentral:rRNA from 1 species
GAGUGCCCCAAGCGUUAUCCGGAUUUAUUGGGGCGUAAAGGGGUCCGUAGGCGGUCUAUCGCAUCUCCUGGUUAAAUCUCGAAGCUCAACUUCGAGACCGCGGGAGAGAUGGAUAGACUAGAGGCCGGGAGAGGCAAGUGGAAUUGCUGGUGUAGGGGUUAAAUCCGUUAAUAUCAGCAGGAACACCAAAUGCGAAGGCAGCUUGCUGGAACGGUCCUGACGCUAAGGGACGAAAGCGUGGGUAGCGAAUGGGAUUAGAUACCCCAGUAGUCCACGCCGUAAACGAUGGAUGCUAAGCAUUGGCAGUAUCGACCCUGUCAGUGCUGUUUACUUAAGCUAACGCCUUAAGCAUCCCGCCUGGGGAGUACGAGCGCAAGCUUA